rnacentral:rRNA from 1 species
GAUGAACGCUGGCGGCGUGCCUAAUACAUGCAAGUCGAGCGAACGGACGAGAAGCUUGCUUCUCUGAUGUUAGCGGCGGACGGGUGAGUAACACGUGGAUAACCUACCUAUAAGACUGGGAUAACUUCGGGAAACCGGAGCUAAUACCGGAUAAUAUUUUGAACCGCAUGGUUCAAAAGUGAAAGACGGUCUUUCUGUCACUUAUAGAUGGAUCCGCGCUGCAUUAGCUAGUUGGUAAGGUAACGGCUUACCAAGGCAACGAUGCAUAGCCGACCUGAGAGGGUGAUCGGCCACACUGGAACUGAGACACGGUCCAGACUCCUACGGGAGGCAGCAGUAGGGAAUCUUCCGCAAUGGGCGAAAGCCUGACGGAGCAACGCCGCGUGAGUGAUGAAGGUCUUCGGAUCGUAAAACUCUGUUAUUAGGGAAGAACAUAUGUGUAAGUAACUGUGCACAUCUUGACGGUAUCUAAUCAGAAAGCCACGGCUAACUACGUG